UCAAUUUACAAUCUUUGCAGUUUCUAUUUUAAUUACAUAUGUAGUUUAAAGAUUAACAUUCAAUGUUGAAAUAUUUGUAUAUGUAUACAAUAAUAUUUCAUGCUUAAAACAGUAUUGUUGAUGUUUAUGAACUGUGUAUGUUGGCGGUGGUGCCAUAUCUUUACUAAGCUACUGAAUAAUAUGUUGAUCUUUCAUCUCUCAGGUUUAGUUUCAGAGUUUUUACCAUCUGCUCUUUCCAAAACUGAACUGAAACUAGUGGCUUUUUUUUUUUAUGUUUUAUGUUAACUUUAACCUAGACACGGUCUAUUAAUUAUCCUUCAGGGAUGAUUGAGCUGCCUUGAUAUGAUUUUGACUGAUCUGAAAAUGAUCUAAAUGAUUUAUCUAAAUGAUGACUAAAAUGAUAAAAUGGAGUUUACAUUUAAUGGAGCUUUUUUAAAUAAAAAGUUGGGAUCGUGAAGGGUAGGAAGAAAGAACUAUGUCAAAAGACUAGGAUACAUCCCGCCACAGACAACAUAACAUUUCUCUGCCACUGUUACCGUCCGCUACAGUACACAAGUAUCUAUAUAGACAACAUAAAUUUGUGAGUAGACUAAAAUGUUUUGUUGCUGUUGUUUGACUGUCCGUUACUAAAAAGAAAAAUUCCAGAGUGGCAAACUUUUGCUUUAGUUCCUUUCUAGGUUUUGGUAAGCCAAGUUGACAGAUUUCACAGACUACGAAUUUCUUUCUCUUUAUUAUCUAUCCAACUGGAGGACAGAUAAGCUAGAAACAUGUUUGUUAUUUUGAACCAAUUUUAGAACAAACAUUGGACACAUUCACACAGCAGCAAAAAUAGUUGUCAGUCCUUUAUUGGAGUCAUUUAUAUGGUUGCAUUCACCGACAUUUCAGUUAUUUAUGGGAUUGACAAAUGCAUUCUAUUAUUUGACACACCUGUGCAUUUUCUGGACUCACAACUGUGUUGUAAAAUAUAUUAAAGGAAACAUAAUAAGUUCUAAUAUUAAACUUGUAAUAUUAAAAAUCAAGGAGAAAAGCAGUUUUAAAAUGUACAUAGAAGUAUUGAGUACAUUUUAAUUUAAAAGACAAAAUAUUCUUCCCAUUCUAUGGAUCAGAGAUGGAUGGUUAGGCUUGUCCGUUACUAAUAUUAAAAAAUUUGCGCAGUAUUCAAAAGGUUAGUUUCUGAUAUUUCAAACACUCAGCUGACAUAAUGCAUUUACAUUUAAUCAUUUAGCAGAUGCUUUUAUCCAAAGCGACUUACAAGAGAAAAUAGAUGCAAUUCAGACCAAUAGUAGGGCAACAGUAUACAAAUGCUGUAACAAGUCUAAGUUAGUCUAGCACAGUACACAUAUAAUUUUUUUUAUUUUAUAAAGUGAGUUUAGAGCAAUACAAUUGUAUUGAACUCAGAAAUUGUUGUGUUUUUUUCCACUAUGCUAAGGUAGAAUACCACCUAACCCUGAAGCACCUAUUGCCAGUGUUGUUUUUUGUGAUAACUUGUCCCUCAAAUCAACAGUCAAGCUAGAGAUAUCAGAGCCCAUUCAAACAACACAGCAAGCUUUAAUCAGCAUUUUUUUUUUUUUUUUGACGUAAUGCAAAAUCCUUCCUUUUAAAUGAAGGGGGAAGUUGUGGCCUAAUAGUUAGAGAUUCAGACUCGUGAUCCAGAGGUUGUGUGUUCUCCAUCUCCAAGCAUGACCUUGUAUGAGAGAAGGUCUGUCACUUUGACAAUGAACCCAGGAAUCCACUUGUGUCCUUAACUAAAGUUUACACACGUCACUGUGUGUCACUCCCGAAUAAUCAAAAAUGGGCAAAAAGGUGGGAGCUGAUUUCUGAAACCACGACCACCAAUUUAAGGCUUAAUUUAAAUGGAUGAGUUUCCAAAAACAUUUUUGAAGCCAAAUGUGGGCGGAGGCGGCUGCCACCAUCUUGGCAGCGCAUCACCAAGUGUCAAUCCUGGAUAAUAAAAAAUGGGCAAAGAGGCAGGAGCUGGAUGCUGAAGCCAUGCCCACCUAGCUUGACAGCGGUGACAGCAGCGGCAAUCACCUGUCACUAAAGUGGAUGAACCCUUAAUUAUGCAGAACUUUAAGGCUUAAUAUAAUUUAAACAGAUGAGUUAUAAAAAAUAAAAAAAAUCACCGCACUCACAGUUGUUACAAAGGGCAAAAUUAGCCAUAUAGAACAUAAUAAUUUUUUGUACCAGGCUGUAAACAUGUUUUUUUCUGCUGUAAAGUUGUGCAUUUUUAACAUUAGGAGUCCAUGGGAUUGACUCCCUUUUGGAGCCUGCUUAAGAAACAAAGUCACCUACAUUUUGAAUGCCCUGGGUUUCCAAAAUGUAGAAAAACAUCAAAUUUGAAUUUUUUGGGUGAACUAUCCCUUUAAUUACUUUAAAUAAACACAACUUCAUAGUUAAAAAUAAUUAAGUAAUAUUUACAUAAUUAGAGUGCAAUUAGAUUAAAUUUCUUCAUGAAUAUUAAGUUCAGUAGUAGUAAUAGAUUUUACUCAGUAUACUUAAAAUGUGUUUUUAAAUUUUUCAAUUAAAUCUUUUUAAAUUUUGUGUGAAUAGAACAACUAAUCAGGUGCUCAGUUGGUUGCGGGCAGUGUUACAAAUUAAUUUUGGGUGGAAGUUACUAAAGGCAGGCCAAUUUGUUGCUAAAAGUUGCUUAAUAACGGAUGGAAUUUCACAAUUGCAUUGUUAUGUAACCAUGAUGCAAAACUGAAUCAUUGCAAAGAAUAAGAAUGAGAUUUAUUUCAAUCUCAAAAAUACUCAGUCUCAGUGAAUGUGCUAUUGGAAAUAUGUUAAUUUAGAUUAUUUUGUUAAAUAAUAUAAACAUAAUUAUUCAUAAAAGUAAUACAUUUUUAUGAUUGGAUUGUUUUUACAUUAUUUUAUUUAUUUUAUUAUUGAACAGUCACAUUUUUAUAUUUUCUUAUAAACUAGUACACAUUAAAAAAAAUUGUUAGAAGUUAAUAGAUUAAAGCAGUGCAUUGGUAGUAAAAAUAUGGUACAAUAAUUAUGAAGAAAUGUGUUAGGGUUGCUGGGAGAAAAAGGGACCCAAGAGCAGAUUCGCAGUUUGCCAAAAUUUAUUGAACAAAAACAGGCAAUAGUCCAAAACAAAGACAGUAGUCCAAAACAAAGGCAAUAAUCCAAAACAAACGCUGACAAUCAGCAACCAGGGAAGGAAUCCAAAACUGGACUGUGUACGGGAACUGGGUACACCAAAAAGACAAUAAACAAGAUUAAAUGAACAAACAGGGCAUGACAACUAGGCACAACUUGAGCACAAUAGUUUUAAGGACAGUAGUGAAACGGAUGGUAGCCAAGACACACUGACAGAGAAGCACAGAAAGAGAGAAGCAUAAGUAUAGAAGAAAAUCAAUGUGAAAUUGAGAGACAGGUGUGUGUGUGUGAGCUGGAACACUAAUUAGGAUGAGGUGCAGCUGUGAAGACAGAGUGAGUGGAAUUAACCACUUAAGACAUAACACAACAGAAGUCCUGAUGAUCAAACCAGUGUCCUGACAAAAUGUCUUGAUUUUUCACAGGUGUUUUGCCUGUAUUUUAAAUUGAGUGUUGCAUUUUGAGUUUUAGGGUUACAGGAAAUGUCUGUAAAUAUAAUGAGAAUUUCCUGGCAGAAAAUUUUAAUUGAUCUGAAGUUUUAAAUUCAGUCACUGUCCUCCAUCUGAGCUGCUCCCGUCAGUUUUGUGGACUGGGUCUUACUCAAAUGCUCUGCUGUCCACCCUUUACUGAGGACUGAGUUGUAAAAACUGCAAGUUUUGACAGAGGAAAUCUUUUGUCUUGUCAACUGUGAUAAGACUUUGCAUUUUUGGACGACGCCAUCUUUAAUGUUUACUUUAGUCACUAUGGUUACAGUUUAUAUUCACCAUUAGAAUGGCGGAUGCGGGAUUAGCUGCUCAUUCAAAUAACAAUUUUCGAGCCUCUGAUGUAAGCUGCUGUGUGAACAGGACAUUUCACCUCACACUUGUAAGUAAAUGCAGUUGUCAAUCCCAAACCUGACAGUGUGAAGGUAACCAUGAGUUUGUGGUGUUCGGAAAGAAUUGAAAGUCUGUAUUUUAUGUAUUAUAUAUUAGCUGUAUUAUAUUGCACUGUACCCACACUGGACCAGGAAAGUGGAAAUUUGGACACAGGAAUUCAUUCAGCAUGACCCUCAGUGCAUUUUGGGUAUUCUCUAGUAGUUGAGUGUACAACUGUUGUACAUUUGUUAUUGUGGUGCAAAAAAAGCAUUCAAUAACAAUAAUGAAUAAAUUCAAUAACAUCCACUAUGGUUUCUGACAGUACUGGCUGUCCCUUCAAAUAGUGCCCUAUUUAAGGGUAUGGGGGGCGAUUUCGGACACUUCCUUGGUCUUGCUACAUUACUUUAACCAAGAAGAACUGAACCUAGAUGAGAGUGGUGCACUAUUAUUAUCAAUUAUUAAAAGAUACACCGUUAUCAAUUUCUAGGUGGUCACACACUUACUGUAAAUGUUAAAUUAAGUAUUAAAAACAGUAUUAAAUUAAUACUGUUUGUAUGUACUAUAUAAAAAGGCAUGAAAGAGUGCAGGACAGUUUGCCUAUACUGAGAACUUGGUAAUGCGGCCACAACAAGCGGUACACCUCAGGUGUGUAUUAUUUUCUAGUAAUGAAAGGGCCCAUUGUCAAUUAUUCCUCACUUAAAGCUUUUUUUGCUUCAUUUAUUUGUAUACCACAGUCAUAGCAUAUAAACUUACGGUUACCACACCUUGAUUGCAGACCAUUGCAGUUAUGAGAGCGAGAGAGAGAGAGAGAGAGAGAGAGAAUAAGCGUGUGUGAAUUACCCCAGUCUGUGCGUCUCGGUGUUCGGCAGCAGUGUCUCUACUAAUAGCAAAACUGUACGUUCAUCUACUCUAACAACAGCGAUGUUAUUACCUCACUGGUGAGAAAUGUCAUGUAUCUUUUAAGUUGCUAUACUAUUUUACUGAAAUUGUCAGAGCAAUGUUGACAACACAUUUCUGUGUUUCUGUGAGUGGGGUUACUAGGAUACACAAUCAUGGGGAAGACUGCUGAUCUGAUAGUUGUCCAGAAGACAAUCAUUGACACCCUUCACAAGGAGGGUAAGCCACAAACAUUCAUUUCCAAAGAAGCUGGCUGUUCACAGAGUGCUGUAUCAAAGCAUGUUAACAGAAAGUUGAGUGGGAGGAAAAAGUGUGGAAGAAAAAGAUGCACAAACAACCGAGAGAACUGCAGCCUUAUGAGGAUUGUCAAGCAAAAUCGAUUCAAGAAUUUGAGUGAACUUCACAAGGAAUGGACUGAGGCUGGGACAAAGGCAUCAAGAGCCACCACACACAGAUGUGUCAAGGACUUUGCUGAACCACAGACAAUGUCAGAGGUGUCUUUCCUGGUCUAAGGAGAAGAAGAACUGGACUGUUGCCCAGUGGUCCAUAGACCUCUUUUCAGAUGAGAUCAAGUUUUGUAUUUGAUUUGGAAACCAAGGUCCUAGAGUCUGGAGGAAGGGUGGAGAAGCUCAUAGAGAUUCAAGUUGCUUGAAGUCCAGUGUUAAGUUUCCACAGUCAGUGAUGAUUUGGGGUGCAAUGUCAUCUGCUGGUGUUGGUCCAUUAUGUUUUUUGAAAACCAAAGUCACUGCACCUGUUUACCAAUAAAUCCUGAAGCACUUCAUGCUUCUUCACUGGUUUGUAUUCUAUGUGCCUUGUGCUGCUUUAUUUCACGGUAUUUUUUAACAUUCCCUUAUUUGUACAGUUGUAUUUUAUAUUUAAUCUGUAUCUAUCUGUAUUUUAUGCUCUACUGUUAGUGUUAUCUGUAUGCACCAAGGGUCUGAGAGUUGCACAAUUUCAAUUCUCUGUAUGUAUGUUCUGUACAUUGACAAAUAAAGUAAAACAAAAUAAAAAUAAAAUGACAAAUAAAAUUGACAAAUAAAGAA